rnacentral:rRNA from 1 species
UACGUAGGGUGCAAGCGUUAAUCGGAAUUACUGGGCGUAAAGCGUGCGCAGGCGGUUUUGUAAGUCUGUCGUGAAAUCCCCGGGCUCAACCUGGGAAUUGCGAUGGAGACUGCAAGGCUAGAAUCUGGCAGAGGGGGUAGAAUUCCACGUGUAGCAGUGGAAAUGCGUAGAGAUGUGGAGGAACACCGAUGGCGCAAGGCAGCCCCCUGGGUCGAAGA